rnacentral:rRNA from 1 species
CCUACGGGCGGCAGCAGUCGAGAAUCAUUCACAAUGGGGGAAACUCUGAUGGUGCGACGCCGCGUGGGGGAAUGAAGGUCUUCGGAUUGUAAACCCUUGUCAUGUGGGAGCAAAAUAAACAGAUAGUACCACAAGAGGAAGAGACGGCUAACUCUGUGCCAGCAGCCGCGGUAAUACAGAGGUCUCAAGCGUUGUUCGGAAUCACGGGGCGUAAAGCGUGCGUAGGCUGUUUCGUAAGGAGUGUGUGAAAGGCGCGGGCUCAACCCGCGGACGGCACAUGAUACUGCGAGACUAGAGUAAUGGAGGGGGAACCGGAAUUCUCGGUGUAGCAGUGAAAUGCGUAGAUAUCGAGAGGAACACUCGUGGCGAAGGCGGGUUCCUGGACAUUAACUGACGCUGAGGCACGAAGGCCAGGGGAGCGAAAGGGAUUAGAUACCCGGGUAGUC